GUUUGAGUUGUCUAUUAUUACAAGGGUGGGUAUUUGCCUAUUUAAGGCCAAGGUUUCCCAACUGCUAAUGCAUGUGCUCAGUGGUUAUUAUAAGGGUGGGUAUGUGCUUAUUUUAGGCCAAGGUUUCCCAACUGGUGAUGCAUGUGCUCAAAAAAUAAAAAUAAAAAUUGAAUAAGCAAUAAAGUGUCAUAACUUUACGGGUAAAUGGGUAUCAUUCUUCAAAAGGUGGGUUUUGUUGUAGGGCAGGUACUGUUAAAAUAGGGUAGAUUCAAGAUGUACGGGUUUAUAAUGUUUGUUUUAUGACAUAAGUCAAAGGGUGGUUUGUAAUGGUAUUUAUUAAUUAAUGACUUUUUGUCAUAAAAAAGCAUAAUGAGCUUAAUGCUUUAGACGCACCACUAGAUGUCAGUAAAGCAUAAUGAGCUUAAUGCUUUAGAGGCACCACUAGGGGUCAGUGUGCUAACUCAUGCUUCUGGCAGUGACAUCACAGGCCAGCCUACUUACUGGAUAAAACCAAAUAGUAGGAGGAAUUGAGCCUCCUUUUUCCUUUGCUUGCAUUGAUUGAACAUGUAGCUGUGUGUAUAGCUCCAGCCAAACAGGCUGGAGCCUUGUAAGUAAUCUAUUAUAACAGCUAGCAACUGUUAUAGCCUUUUGUAAGUAAUGUUGUAGUUUUGUAUUGUGUAAUUAUUGUGGUAAAUUGACAUUCUGC